UGCUGUGAACUCGAAGAGUAGGGCGGGACACGUGGUAUCCUGUCUGAAUAUGGGGGGACCAUCCUCCAAGGCUAAAUACUCCUGACUGACCGAUAGUGAACCAGUACCGUGAGGGAAAGGCGAAAAGAACCCCGGCGAGGGGAGUGAAAAAGAACCUGAAACCGUGUACGUACAAGCAGUGGGAGCACCCUUCGGGGUGUGACUGCGUACCUUUUGUAUAAUGGGUCAGCGACUUAUAUUCUGUAGCAAGGUUAACCGAAUAGGGGAGCCGAAGGGAAACCGAGUCUUAACUGGGCGUUAAGUUGCAGGGUAUAGACCCGAAACCCGGUGAUCUAGCCAUGGGCAGGUUGAAGGUUGGGUAACACUAACUGGAGGACCGAACCGACUAAUGUUGAAAAAUUAGCGGAUGACCUGUGGCUGGGGGUGAAAGGCCAAUCAAACCGGGAGAUAGCUGGUUCUCCCCGAAAGCUAUUUAGGUAGCGCCUCGUGAACUCAUCUUCGGGGGUAGAGCACUGUUUCGGCUAGGGGGUCAUCCCGACUUACCAACCCGAUGCAAACUGCGAAUACCGAAGAAUGUUAUCACGGGAGACACACGGCGGGUGCUAACGUCCGUCGUGAAGAGGGAAACAACCCAGACCGCCAGCUAAGGUCCCAAAGUCAUGGUUAAGUGGGAAACGAUGUGGGAAGGCCCAGACAGCCAGGAUGUUGGCUUAGAAGCAGCCAUCAUUUAAAGAAAGCGUAAUAGCUCACUGGUCGAGUCGGCCUGCGCGGAAGAUGUAACGGGGCUAAACCAUGCACCGAAGCUGCGGCAGCGACGCUU
rnacentral:rRNA from 1 species